rnacentral:snRNA from 1 species
CAUAUAUAUAUGUAUAUGGUGU